rnacentral:lncRNA from 1 species
AUACAAUACAUCGAACAUCCUUUUAUUUAAUUCAGUCGUUUUGUUUUCUUUUUUUCCCCUUACUCAUCCCUUGUUUACGUAAAUAUGUCUAGACAGUGGCGGAUCAAGAACUUUUCCUAAGGGGGGCCCGCUCCAGUCAUGCUUCAAUGAUUCCCUAUAUAAUCAACCAAAUUUUUCCCACGAAAGGGGAGCCGCACCCCCCCCCCGGAUCCGCCUAUGCUAGAAGUUUUAAAACCAC